rnacentral:lncRNA from 1 species
UGGUUUGGAUUUGAUUUUGUUUUUGUAAGUUUGAGUUAUUUUUUUUAGGUUAUGCGUUGCUUCUGAUGGCAGUACUGACAACAUCUACUGAUGGAUGCUGAUGAAGAAGAGAAAGAUUAACAUCUACUGAAGGAUGUUGAUGAGAAAGAUUUGCAUCUACCGAUGGAUGCUGGAGGAGUUUGAGAAAGCAUCUACUUAUGGAUGCUGCUAUGGAAAAGAAUGGUGACUAGACA